CAGUGUUGCAAAUUCCAUUCAUUCCUUAUUUUCUCAAAAAACUCCUGUAUUUUUGCAGUUGGCUCCCACUGAGGAAAGAGGGUAAAUGGUGGGGAGGGCAAACUCAAUUUUUGAAGAUCUUUCAGUAACGUUAGGACAGCUCCGCAAUCGCCUGUUUCAAGAAAACUCUGUUCUUAAUUCACUUCCCCUCAAUUCUCUGAGUAGUAACAGUGAAGUUGAUCUGCUCUUUCUUUCUGAACUGCAAGUUCUGUGUGAUAUUUCAAGUUUGCUGUCUCGACAUAAGCAUCUAGCCAAGGAUCAUUCUCCUGAUUUAUAUUCACUGGAGCUGGCAGGUUUGGAUGAAAUUGGGAAACAUUACGGAGAAGAUUCUGAGCAAUUCAGAGAUGCUUCUAAGGUCCUUGUUGAUGCUUUGCAAAAGUUUGCAGAUGGCAUGUAUAGUCUUUAUGAUGGGAAUGCAGUGGUAGAGCUAGUGACUGUCAGAUCAUACGACACAUCGCUUGUGAGGAAGACGAGGACUAUCCUUGAGACAAAACAAGAGAAGAACCCAUCAAGUCCCUAUAACCUUGCAUACAAGUAUAAUUUUGAGUAUGCAGUGGUUUUCAACAUGGUACUUUGGGUAAUGAUCUUCUUGGCCUUGGCUGUGAUUAUCACCUCUUACAAUAUUUGGAACAUGGAUCCUGGAUAUGAUAGCAUCAUUUAUAGGAUGACAAACCAGAAGAUUCGAGUGGAUUGAACUUCCUUUAUGCCAGAGAUACAAAAGUGGUUUGGAAAUUGGCUGUUUUGUGAAAAUAGUGUAAUUUAAAGUAGAUAGUAUACUUUAAAUUUGUUUUAAAAAGCAAAUUUUGUUCUCUAUUUUGUGUGUGCCUGUGAAGUUGUUUAUAGUAAAGUAUAUUGACAUGAAUUGAUUUGUGUGAUAGAUUUCAUAAUAUGCUCAAAUAUUAUUAAUUAUAAUUGCAUUCCAUUUAGUAUUUGAAUAUAAUGCACUGAAAUAAAUGUAAAACAUU